AAUAAAAUGAAGAAGAAAAACAAAGUUCUAAACUAAAAGCUCCCCUUUCACAUAUGAAGCAAGCAACCAUCAAAUUAAGUCUUAGCUGAAAUUUCAUUCUCAUAAAAAAGCUUACUUUAUAUUUUGGUCCAUAAUUCAACACCUCUCUCUCUCUCUUUCUCCACCUUCUCUCUCUCUUAAUCUUUUUUCUCUCUUUCCAUGGCUAAUGAGAAUAAUAAUAAUAAUAAUAAUCCUUUCUAUAAUAACAACCACCAUGAUGAUGAUGAACUCAUCAACCACACAAACUUUUCAUUCUCACAAAAUUUUCAAGGAUUUGAUCCUUCUCAUACAAGUUUCAAUGACUAUUUACAUGGUUCUAUGGACUAUAACACACUCUCAAAAGCCUUUGACUUGUCUUGUUCAUCACCUGAAGUGAUCUCAUCCAUUGAUGACAACACAAAGAAAUCUAGUGGAGGAGAUUCAUCACUAUUAGGGAUAAGUGAGACACCAAAUUCUUCAGAAUCUUCUUCAUCUAAUGAAGCUGAACCUGUUGUAGAAGAAGAUUCAACCAAAAGUAACAAGAAAGAUAAGCAGCCAAAAGGGUUUCAAGAUGGAGAUGAAAAAUCUAAGAAAGGAGAAAAGGCUAAAAAGAAAGAGAAAAAGGCAAGAGAGCCAAGGUUUGCAUUCUUGACAAAAAGUGAGAUUGAUCAUCUUGAAGAUGGCUAUAGAUGGAGAAAAUAUGGACAGAAAGCAGUCAAGAAUAGUCCAUACCCAAGGAGCUAUUACAGAUGCACAAGUCAGAAGUGCAUUGUGAAGAAAAGGGUGGAGAGAUCAUACCAAGAUCCAUCUAUUGUGAUGACAACAUAUGAAGGACAACACAAUCAUCAUUGUCCAGCUACACUUAGAGGCAAUGCUUCCACAAUGUUUUCAUCACCAUCACUCUUUGCUUCUUCCACUUCAAUGGCACCAAACUUACACCAAGAUUUCCUUUCUCAAUUCCUUCCAACUUAUACUCAAAGUGAUCAACAUUUCUUCCACCAACAAAAUCUUCUCCAAACUCAACCACAACAACAACAAUUUCAACUCCAUCAUGACUACAAUGGUUUGUUGCAAGAUUUACUACCAUCAACAUUCCCUGGAAAACAAGACCCAUGAUCAAAAUUAUAUAUUUAAGAACUCAAUUAUCUUAUCAUCCAUAAACCUCUCUCUAUAUAUAGUGAAAGGUUGCAUAUGAGGUGCCACUUGCAAGGGUAUGAAACUAAAAAAGGACACCAUAUAUCAUCAGACAACAAGAAUCUUUAACAAGGACUUUCUCCUUUUUUUUUAGUUAUUGUUUAAAGAUUAUUUAUAUAUACUAAAUAAAUUAAUAAAUUUUGUUCUUUUUAUUUUAUUAUACUUUUAACAUGAUCUUAAUUUGUAAGUAUUUUAUGAGUUUGAAGGCAUGUCUUAGUCUUGUGAACUCCAAGACCAAUUUUAUCUAAACUUCUAUUAAGAUAGAGUUUUUAAGAAUCUAUAUGAACAUGAAAUAAAUUUGUUUGUAUUGGA